CCCCGGCUCGCCCCAGCUACGGCUCCGGCUACGCCCCUGCCGCCGGCUACGGCUACGCCGCCGGCUACCAGGGCGUGACCUACGCCGGUCGCGACCAGGGUUACGGCCACGACAACGCGUACAGCCCCCGUCCGCACGCCGCAGGCUACUCGUACCAGCCCCGCGGCUACGGCUACCAGCAGAGCGGCUACGGCUACCAGCCGGCCGGCUACGACCGCACGCCUUACGGCGGACACGGAGGCUACGCUGCCCCGGCCUACGAGCCCUCCCACUACUAAAGCGUUGACUGGCUCCCAGGGACAGGCCUAGAUCUGUUGAAGAAGGUCUAGAUAAUGAAGACAUCGAUCCACUCUACCUUUCUCGGCUGCUAGAAACACUUUAUUUAUUACACUGCAUUGAA